rnacentral:miRNA from 1 species
GAGACAGGAUCUUGCUAUGUAGUUCAGGCUGUGCUUGAAAUCACUAUGUAGCCUAGACUGUCCUCAAACUCACAGUGAUACUCCUGCCUC